UUGUAUCACCAGUGCUUAUAUGCCUGACAUCCAGUAAGAACUUAACUGACUAGUAUCUACCUGGUACCAACCCCUGGAGAAACAUGGAGAUCCUGCUUCUGAGAGUGCAUGAGAGAAGGGCAGCCUUUUUCCUACACACUCAGAGCAUGUAAUGGUAUCUUCUGUUUCUUGUCAACUUAUUGUCGGGCUCAUAAACACUCUAGUUAUUAGGUGAGCUGGAAGUGAAUGUGGGUAUGAGAUACCAACAGAUGAAGGUUCAGUCUCCUUGGGUACUUUCAAGUGAGGAAAAAGAAAUGCUGUAAAACUGAGUAAGAGAGCAUUUCUCUAGCUGUUCACCACCAUGUGACUGUGAAUAUGGAACACCUCGUUUCUUCUCCUAAUGGCAGAUGAGCCAGCCUUGAGGAGUGACCUAAGGGACUGAUCCCAGAAGUGAAGCUACUCAGCUCUUGAGAUGCUAUGUCCUACAAGCAAGGGAAUAACUUGUCCAUUAUAACUAUCUCACACCUAAUGAAUUUGAUGAGAAGCAAUCAUUAGACCACCAUGUAACAUGUCUUUACCUAUUAUGAGAAGAGGGAAAUAGUGGCUUCUGACAGUGACAGCCUUGAAGGAGGAAAAAAAUCUUCUACUGGGUAGAACAAAUGCCUUGCCAAUUGAAAUAUUAAAGCAACCAUUUCUUCUUU